CCUACGGGUGGCUGCAGUAGGGAAUCUUCCACAAUGGGCGCAAGCCUGAUGGAGCAACACCGCGUGAGUGAAGAAGGGUUUCGGCUCGUAAAACUCUGUUGUUGAAGAAGAACGUGCGUGAGAGUAACUGUUCACGCAGUGACGGUAUUCAACCAGAAAGUCACGGCUAACUACGUGCCAGCAGCCGCGGUAAUACGUAGGUGGCAAGCGUUAUCCGGAUUUAUUGGGCGUAAAGCGAGCGCAGGCGGGUUUCUAAGUCUGAUGUGAAAGCCUUCGGCUUAACCGGAGAAGUGCAUCGGAAACUGGAUAACUUGAGUGCAAGAGAGGACAGUGGAACUCCAUGUGUAGCGGUGGAAUGCGUAGAUAUAUGGAAGAACACCAGUGGCGAAGGCGGCUGUCUAGCUUGCAACUGACGCUGAGGCUCGAAAGCAUGGGUAGCGAACAGGAUUAGAUACCCUGGUAGUC
rnacentral:rRNA from 1 species